CAUCCGAUAUCGAAUCUAGAUUCCGAAUCUUGAUCCAAUCGGUAUCCUAGGCAUGGUUCGUGACACAAACCCUAAAAAUAUGUCACAAUGACAAUUAAUUAUUCCCCACGCAAUGGGUCUUCGCAUGGAACCAAAAUCCGUCUGGAUCGCUGGAUUUGAAAUCGUUCCAUUCCAGGAGGACAUGGAGGAAUCAGGGCCAGCUUUCAAGAAUCUUCGCAGCAGAGAGUAUGAAGGUCACAAGAAGAAGGUACAUUCUCUGGCAUGGAAUUGCACGGCCAUGAAGCUUGCUUCUGGUUCUGUCGAUCAAACUGCUCGAGUUUCGCAUAUUGAGUAUCACGAACAUUGUAGAUCAGCUAUGCUGGGACCAUAAACAUUCUGAUCUUAUAGCGACUGCAUCUGGAAACAAGGCUGUUCGUCUAUGAGAUGCUCGUAAUGGGAAAUGCUCACAGCAAGAUGAGCUCAGUGGGGGAAAAUAUCAAUAUCAAUAUCACCUACAAACCUGAUGGCACGCACAUAGCUGUUGGGAAUAGGGAUGAUGAACUUAGAAUUCUGGAUGUUAGGAAGUUUAAACCAGUUCACAAGCGCAAGUUCAAUUAUGAGUCGAAUGUCCAAACGGGACGAACAGUUCACCAGAUUCCUUGUCGGGGUGCGAUGAACAGUAUGGAGUGGGAUCCAAAGCAUAAUUUACUUGCUUAUGGCUGGGGAUGACAAGAACAAGUAUCAGGCUGAUGAAG